GACGAACGCUGGCGGCGUGCUUAACACAUGCAAGUCGAACGGAAAGGCCCUGCUUUUGUGGGGUGCUCGAGUGGCGAACGGGUGAGUAACACGUGAGUUACCUGCCCUUGACUUUGGGAUAACUUCAGGAAACUGGGGCUAAUACCGGCUAGGAGUUCCUGCUGCUUGGUGGGGGUUGGAUAGUUUCGGCGGUUGGGGAUGGACUCGCGGCGUAUUAGCUUGGUGGUUGGGUGGUGUCUUACCAAGGCAUUGAGAGGUUGCCGGGCUGGGCGGAGAGCAGGCCAAGUUAGAAUUGGACUGAGGCCCGGACCACAAUCGUAAGGAAGGGUGGAGAAGAUUACACAAUGGGCGGAAGCCUGGUGCAGCAACGCCGCGUGCGGGAUGACGGCCAUCGGGUUGUAAUCCACUUUCGCCUGUGACGAAGCGUGAGUGACAGUAAUGGGUAAAGAAGCACCGGCUAACUACGUG
rnacentral:rRNA from 1 species